rnacentral:lncRNA from 1 species
AAGGUCAGAUAAAUUGCAUUCAACAUGGCAUUUUAUCCGGCUCAGGUAAAAUAUGAAUGCUAGAGGAUGAGGCCAGCCGCUGUUGAACCUUUAGGGGGUCAGAUAAUUACUUCUUCAAAGAUUAUGUUGUGCUCCAUGGAUCCUUUGCUUGACCUGAUGAUCAAUUGGUAAACAAUCUUUAUUCAGUUCAGAUUGCACAAACGCCAUUGCUCUCACUCACCCAACAAUACUUUCUGGUAGUAAUCAAGAAACCAAGUGCUAGCUGUUCUACCAAGAAUUUUUUUGAAGUUUUCAAUGUGACAGAAGAACCAAAACAUAGGGAAGUAGUGCUAUCAACAGGAGCAGUAAAUGGAUAAAUCAAUUAUCAUUGUAUUUUCAUUUGUCCUCUGGAUAUGUUUGGAUUUUGAUAUUAUUUAUAUAUAUAGAUAAAGAUAAGCUUCGGUGCACAGGUGAUGUACGAUAACAGAAUAUUGGAUAGCUUCACUUGCCAACGGAGAAGUGGAAAAGGAUUGCAAGUAAUGAUUCACCAGUAAGUAGAGUACAGUUAAUUCUUUAUAGAAGUCGACUGUUUAACCUUAAAUAUGAUGUUUAAGUUCAACUCGUUAUGGUUUAACUAUUGUGCACAUCACUAAGAAAAGGAUUAUCUAGGAGGAGGGGGCUGCGUUCCUUCCGCUCCUACCGCCCCCUCCUGAUCCGCCGCCGGCGGGGCGAACGGCGCCGCCGCGGCCUGCUCGGGAGGAGUCGCCGCUGUCGGGGCGGUCACCUGAGACCGGCGGAUCGCCGGAUUCGCAGACUGCGGCGGAGAUCGGGGGAUUUCUCCAUCCGGCCAAAUGGAAAAUUUUCUUCCAAGAUGUCCGGGAAGCCGGCCGUAGAUCGGAGGGAGUUCUCUACUCGUACUACCCUUCGAGGUGGACGGUGGUGUGCGAUCUGGCUGGUGACAUUCUCGGAGGGGAGUAUCUCAAAGCUGAUGAGAAGAUUAAUGAAGGUACGCGGUUGCUCAUUGAUAUUUUUGAUGUUACCGUUCAUUCGCGUAUGCAGGAGGAACCGGAGACUCUUGAUCACAUUGACUUGAUCGAUCUCACGGAAGAGCCAAAGCCCUCGAAGCCGCGGUUCGGGGGGCGCUUUUGGGUAUUGGCUGAUGAGGAUGAUGAGGUGACGCUCGUGGACGACGACGAUGCCGGAGACUCGCCGGAAUAUUCACCGACGCCUUCGUCGAUCAUUUGCGAGGCCUUCGAUCAGGGUUACUCUGAAGAUGAGGUCGCGGCGAUUGGUGAUGGAGUGGUGCCACUCGACGAUCCGGCGCGGCAAGGGCUACGAUCGGAAGAUAAACUCGAGGUUCUUCGGCGCAUAGUACAUCGCCGGACUUCGGCUGCGGCGAGCCGGCCGUGGAAGGGACCGAUUCCUAAGGUUUGUCUUCCUAAACCGAUUCUAGCUGAUUUCAUUACUGAGAAUUCAUGGAAGUUAGUUAAGAGAAAGAAGGCUCGGCGAUCGUCGGCGGCCAUGGUGCCGGCGCCGGUGAUCGACCGCAGCGCUGUGAUCCGUAAUCACCGCGUCGCUCGUUUGAAUGAGUUGUUGGGCCGAGAGUCGGGCUUGUCGGUGGGUGGGCCGGUUCUGAGUGAACCGGCCACGAUGGCGUGUGGGCUUGUGGACGCAGGGUAUGAGGCCCGAGGCGAUCUACAUCCUACGACUACACCCCCAUGCGGACGUCCGGUUCCAACUAGGGUUCGUAACGGAGGCAGACGACCGUGCUUUGCUGAUCGCGGCGGAGGGCGUGCUCCUCGUAUCCCUCCUCUCCAGGCGAUGGCGGGCCGUGGAGUCCCUGCUGCUAGUGGGAUGCCUCCGGGCGCUGCGGGCCGUGGAGGGCCUACGCAGGCGCCGGCUGUUGGGCGCGGCGGAGGCGGCGCCCCUGCGGGGACGGGUGGCGGUGGCGCCGGUGUGCCGCUUGCUGCCGGCAGUGGAGGGGCGCCGCCGCCUCUGCGAGCGGGUCCUGGUGCGGGCCGUCCGGGGACGGUCGUAGGCGGCCAACGGGCACAAGUGGGAGGGGCCACUAAGACCGCUCCGGCUGGCCGAGGGGUGGCUGCUCCGGCUGGUUCUCGCCCGGCGGCGCCGGUGAUGAUGGCUGCGGGACGAGGUGGUUCUAGGCCGACGUUGCCGACGCCUGGAGUUGCCGCGGGCCGAGGUACACUGGUAGCAAGGCCUCCGCCUCCGGGUGCUCAUGGCCAGCACCCCGUGGCAUCGCAGGUGGGAGCUAGACCGCCGCACUUUGUGGCUCGGCAGAUCAAUGACGCGGCGACGCCAGUGUUGCAGCAGGCUCAGUGGGGUGACGAUGGUUACAAUGUGUAUGGAGAUGGACAACACCGGGGAUCCUCGUCUACGGGUGGCGGACGGGGGUAUGCCUGGUAGAGUGAUGGUUCUGCUGAGAGGCCUUUCUUGGGGCCGCCAGGCGGUUUUGUCGAAGGGGCUGCUGGGCCGGCUCAUCGUAACCGAGGCGGUUUCCGUGGCAAUCGUGGCCGAGGAGGCCGAGGGGGUCGGUACCGUCCAAGGCAACAUCAUACUUCGGUUGAGACGGUGGUCGACGCUUUUGCUGAGGAGACAGACUUGUCUUGCCAGUCUAUGGAUGUGGUGACGGAACUGGCAGCUGUCGAGGUUCCGGUUGAGGUCGAUACUCAGGCUAUGUCGGUGGAGGGCUCUGACAGAUCUGAGGUGGACAGGGCUGCAAAGUUUGCUAAGAAAAAGGAAAGAAUGCUUUGUUAUCGAUGUGGCGAUAAGGGUCAUUUUAUUGCUGAGUGUGUGGCUGUUCUUUGUGAUACUUGUGGUAAGCCUGCACACGAGUCUGGUGCGUGUCCGCUGGUGCGGGAGCAGACACCGAGCCUUAUGACAUAUGGUGUCUUCUGUUCUGAACUCACAUUUUUUGAGUCGCCGACUGAGAGGGAGGUUCCUCAGGAGGAGCACAGUACGACAACUGGGGUAGUGAAAGUAACUAGAGGACAAGUGUCCGAGGCUCAGAUUAUUCAUCGUCUUCGGGAGCUGGCACCAGGAGACUUCCAUUGGGAGCUUGUCAGGCUGGAGAACAACUUAUUCAGGGUUCAGUUCCCAACUGUGGAGGACUUACAGAGGUUGCUGAGCUUUGGGAUGUGUAAGGUCCUAGGUACAGAGGCCAUACUUGAGUUCCAGGAGUGGAAGCUGGUUGAGCCCCAGGGUACACCCCUUAUCCAGGCCUGGUUACGCUUUUCGGGGGCUCCGUCUGCGCUUCUGCGGGACGCCGAUGUGGUUGCUAGUCUCGGUAUCAUGGUGGGAAAGACCGAGCGAGUGGAUAUGCCUUUUACUCGAGCUCAUGGGAUUGCUCGCCUGUUGGUCAGUAUUCUGGACAUCAACUUCGUGCCCGACGUGGUUAAGUGGGUGUUUCGUGGGCAGGUAUACAGUCUUGAGAUUGAGUUCGAGGAUGAUAGCCUCUUUGCCCAGGCUCCAGCUGCCACUGGCGAUGACAUGAGUGAAGGUGACGAUGAUACGGCGGGUAAGGAAAAAACGGCCUAUGAUUCUUUGAGUGAGAUGGCCAAGAGGCCGGAGCCGACGAGUAAGGCAGCAGGACGAGGGGCGGCGCCUGGAGCGUAUGUGCCUGCGACCACUUUGAGAUUCGGUUCUUUUGGUCCUGCGUCUGCACCAUCGAGACUGUGGAGUGAGCGGGUGGAGUCUAUUGAGGAGUUCGAGUACUCUUUACCGGCGUUGGAUUUUGAGGACGCGGGUGUGGAGGGUUCUGGUGGAGGUGUGAGGUUGGAUUUUGUGGACUCGCCUACUUCUACGUGCGGUGACGUGGCCGUGGUACAGGAGGGGGGUCCCAUCUCAUCUGGGGGUCCGGAUCAGGGUGCUUUGGAGGCCCCCCCUCAGCUUCUUCCUGUUGAGGAUACCAGGAGAGACGAUGGGACGACGGUUGGGGGGCCGGGGCAGGUGGCCUCCGCUCCUCUUACGCCUGUGGAUGGGCGGCCACUGCAGGCGGCAGCUCAGGUUCGGUGGGAGGGUGUGGGGCAGGUGGCCUCAAUGCUCCCGUCUGCUUCGGUGCCCGAGGGGGGCACCCCGUUCGGGACUGUGGCGUGCACUCCAGACAGGCGGUCCGGAGUGUAUGGGGGUAGGGGCAGGUGGCCUUCGCUUCCCCAGUGCUGGACUCGGCGCUCUCAUCUGGUAAUGGCGACCAGGUGGAUGUUCGGGGAGUGACAGGCGGUCGCUCUCCGGAUAAAUUCUCGCGGGAGGAGGUCAUUAUGUUUGGCGGGAUACCGGACCAGGCAGCUGAGGGCCGACGCAUGAGUUGUCGGCUUCAGAGCCAUCCGGAGGUGGACGACAUGCAGCAGCGCUGUGCCGUCAGGGCGGCCAAGCUUCGUGAAGUCCAAGUCACAACUGGUAUGUCAGUAAAUACUUCCAAUACUAUUAUGCAUUUCUCGCACGAUCAAAUUGUGGAUAAGGCACACCAAUUAGGAAUUUCACUUGGUAGUAAUGAGGGUGAAGUUACUAAUUCUGUUAACGAUUUGCUUGAUCUAGAAGCCGAGAGGGCUUUAGAAGUAAUUCGUAACUUAGCUGCGGUCAAACCAAUGAAUGACUCUGAGAUUGAUGCCUUGGGAGUUCGAGUACUUCAUAAUUUCUGUCAUGACCUAGCACCGCCCCUCCAGGAGCCGGAGGAGGAGGACGAGAAUAUAGGGUUGGAAGUAGAUAACCCAGCGGUUAUGGGCACUUUGGACCGCGAGGGCCCGACCAGCCCUAAGCGCAAGUGGAAGCGCAAAACUUAGUCGAUGUCCGCAGUCCGUAGGAGCGCUAGGAUUCGCACGGCUAAAAAAUUUCAUGAUGAGAUAUGAAAGGAAUCUUUUUGAAUAGCAGAGGUCUUAAGGACUUGGCUAAAAGAAGGUUCCUUGCGGAGGCAUCUAUUGAGCAUAGUUUGGACUUUAUUGCCUUGUCGGAAACGGGUAGAGCAAAUUUCUCACCUCAAUUUCUCAAUACGUUGUCGGGGGGGAUGGAGUUUGACUGGCAUUGUCUUCCGCCGAGAGGCAGGUCGGGGGGAAUCUUACUUGGUGUUAGAUGUGACUCUCUCGAAGUUCGCAGUGUGGUCAUGGGGGAUUUUGCGGUUAAGUUCAGGGUGCGGUCCAAAAUUGAUGGUUUUGACUGGGCUUUGGUGGCGGUGUACGGGGCAGCGCAGGCCAAGUUCAAACCUGAUUUCCUGGCAGACCUUGUUAGAGUCUGUGGGUCUGAGCGGCUCCCAAUUCUGGUUGGGGGUGAUUUCAACAUUAUUAGAAGGCGCGAUGAAAAGAAUAAUGACAAUUUCGUUGGGAGAUGGUCAUUUAUGUUCAAUACCAUUAUUGAAAGCUUAGAUUUGAGAGAAAUUGAGCUUUCAGGUAGGAAGUUCACCUGGGCUAAUGCGAUGCCAAAUCCAACUUACGAGAAGUUGGAUCGGGUUCUGGCUAGUGUUGCUUGGGAACAGAAGUUUCCAGUUGUAACUGUUCAGGCUCUUUCUCGCGGGAUUUCUGAUCACACUCCUUUGUUGCUCGAUUCUGGUGGGGCUACUUACUCGGGUAACAAAAAUGUUUUCUCUUUCGAGCUGGCGUGGUUUGAAAGAGAAGGAUUUUUGGAUCUUGUUGCCAGAGAGUGGGCCAGAGAUGUAGGAGGUACAGAUGCCAUUGAACGAUGGCAGAACAAGAUUAGGCAUCUCAGAAGCUUCCUUCGUGGGUGGGCUAAACAUCUAGGUGGAGUGUAUAAGGUCGAGAAGGAAAGACUCCUUUCACUUAUACAAACCUUAGAUAUAAAAGCAGAAACUAUGGUUCUGUUACCCACUGAGCUUCAUAUUAAGCAUGAGGCUGAGAUGAGGCUGAAGGAUUUGCUCCGUGAGGAAGAAUUAAAGUGGGCAUUGCGGGCAAAGGUGAGAAAAGUUGUCCAGGGGGAUGCGAAUACUCAGUUCUUCCACAUGAUUGCCAAUGGCAAGCACCGGAAGAAGAGGAUCUUCGAGCUAGAGCAAGAUGAGGGUACAAUAGUCGGCCAGGACAACCUGAAAAUCUACAUUACUGAAUACUAUAAACGGUUGUUUGGACCACCAGAGGAGAGCUGUGUAUCCCUGGAUGAGUCUAGGGUUAGCGAUAUUCCUCAACUUACUUCUGUGGAGAAUGAUGUGUUAACUGCCCCUUUCUCGGAAAAGGAAGUUUUCGAGGCUAUUGCCAAGAUGAAAAGUAAUACGGCACCGGGGCCGGAUGGUUUCCCGACUGAGUUUUACAAGAAGUGUUGGCAUAUUAUCAAAGGGGACCUGAUACCGAUGUUCCAUGAUUUGUUCUCGGGACAUUUGCAGCUGUUCCAACUUAAUUUUGGAACGAUAACGUUGUUGCCUAAGAAAACAGAUGCCAUGAGAAUUGAGCAAUUUCGGCCUAUCUGCCUUCUCAAUGUCAGUUUCAAAAUAUUUACCAAGGUUGGCACGAUCAGGCUUACUCAGAUAGCGCACGCUGUAGUUCAACCUUCUCAAACGGCUUUCAUGCCGGAUAGGAACAUCCUCGAAGGGGUUGUCGUUCUUCAUGAAACGCUACAUGAAAUUCAUACGAAAAAACUAGAUGGGGUUAUUUUCAAAGUGGAUUUCGAGAAGGCCUAUGAUAAAGUCAAAUGGCCGUUCCUCCAGCAAGCUCUACGAAUGAAGGGUUUUGAUGAGCGCUGGAGACAUCAAGUGGAAACUUUCACGCAAAAAGGCAGUGUUGGCAUUAAAGUUAAUGAUGACAUAGGCCACUACUUCCGAACGCACAAGGGUCUGAGACAGGGCGAUCCUAUGUCGCCUAUUUUGUUCAAUAUUGUGGUUGAUAUGUUAGCGAUCCUGAUUGGGAGGGCCAAAGAGGCCGGUCAGGUGGAGGGAGUGGUGCCUCAUCUGGUGGAUGGUGGUCUGUCCAUCCUGCAAUACGCUGAUGAUACAAUCAUUUUUAUGGAACAUGAUUUGGCCAAAGCGAGGAACAUGAAGCUAGUGUUAUGCCUUUUCGAACAAUUGUCUGGGCUGAAGAUUAAUUUCCAUAAAAGCGAGUUGUUCUGUUUUGGUAGAGCCAAAGACGAAUAGGAAGCUUAUACACAAUUGUUUGGGUGUGAAAUUGGGUCUCUACCUUUCACAUAUCUUGGUAUUCCAAUACACCAUCGUAAGUUAACGAAUGGUGAGUGGAAGUGCAUCGAGGAUAGAUUUGAGAAGAAACUAAGCUGUUGGAAAGGAAAACUCAUGUCUUAUGGAGGCCGGUUGAUUCUGAUUAACUCGGUGCUCACGAGUUUACCUAUGUUUCUGUUAUCUUUCUUCGAGGUACCAGUGGGGGUGAGGAAAAGGCUAGACUUUUAUCGUUCUCGCUUCUUUUGGCAGAGUGAUGAGUCUAAGAGGAAGUACAGAUUGGCCAAAUGGGAUAUUAUCUGCAGACCAAAGGACCAAGGAGGACUUGGUAUUGAAAACCUUGAAGUCAAAAACAGAUGCCUCCUUAGUAAGUGGCUGUUUAAGUUGUCGUCUGAGACAGAGGCAACUUGGGCGCAGAUUUUACGUAGUAAAUAUCUGCACUCAAAGACUUUAUCCCAAGUCACUCUCAGACCUACAGAUUCGCCGUUCUGGAAAGGGCUCAUGAGGGUUAAGGCCGCUUUCUUCAACAAAACGAGAUGUAUUGUUGGUAAUGGAGAUGAUACGCGAUUCUGGGAGGAUACGUGGCUGGGUGACGCGCCUUUGGCUACACAAUAUCCAACACUAUAUCGUAUUGUUCAGCGUAGGGACGCUCUUGUUGCGACGGUGAUGCAGUCUAUUCCUCUAAACAUGCAGUUUAGGAGAGUGCUUGUUGGACCUCGAUGGGAAGCAUGGCUUCACUUGGUCCGUAGGCUGAUAGACGUUCAGCUAAAUCCUCAGCCCGACCAGUUGUGUUGGAAACUAACUAAAACUGGGGUGUUCACGGUAAAAUUGAUGUACAUGGAUAUUAUUAAUUCAUCUGUGAUACCUACGACUAAGGAGGUCUGGAAAGUUAAGGUUCCUUUGAAGAUUAAAGUGUUUAUGUGGUUUGUGCAUAAACAAGUUAUUCUUACAAAGGACAAUCUAGUUAAGCGCAACUGGACAGGAUCUACUAGGUGUAGUUUCUGUGAUCGGGAUGAGACUAUCAAGCAUUUAUUUUUUGAUUGCCUGUUGGCACAAGGGUUGUGGCGCAUUGUGCAAAUUGCCUUUAAUAUUACUCCACCGAGAUCGAUAAACACGUUAUUUGGGGCGUGGCUGUUUGGGAUUGAGUCCGAAACAGCCAGACACAUUCGUGUAGGAGUAUGUGCGUUAUUAUGGGCAAUUUGGAAUUGCAGGAAUGAUUUGGUUUUUAACAGGACAACAAAUAUUCAUUUUUUGCAGGUGUUAUUCCGGGCUACGGCGCUGAUCCGUACUUGGUCCUUACUCACUCCGACGGAGGCCAGGGAGCGUUUGGUUACUGGAUCUGUCCGGUGGGAGACGGUAGCGCGGGAUAUCUUCAACCGGUUUGGAUGGCGAUCAUGUAAUAGGAUAGGAGUUUAGUUUACCUAUCUGCUAUUUUGCCAGCCGGGUUGUGGCUUAUCUCAUUUCUGCCUUGCAGUCGAUGCUCUAUGUGAGCUAUAGGCUGCUUUGGUUCCUUUUUCUGUAAGACCUUUGUUCAGAACCUGUUUACUUGUUUAAUAAGAGAGGCCGUAUGCAUCGAUCUGAUGCAGAGGCCGGGGAAUCCCCCCUUUUCAAAAAAAAAAAAAGAAGGAUAGCAAACCAGAAUGUCCUCUUGAAAUCUACUGUAUAGUAAACUGUACUGUUCAAGAACAUGUUGGAAGUUUGAAUGGAGAAAAUAAUCAUUAAGUCUGGGGCACGAAGCAUCAUAGUAGAAGGAAAUGGUUACAUAGCAGGAAAAAAGGAACUCGCUUUUUUAACACUAACUAUUGAGACCUAAUGCAUAUAAUAGUAAGAACAACUUACCUUGUGCGGUUGCAACAGUUGAAGCUAAAGGCGUCAACAGUGGUCCUUUUCGUAGUAGGAACUUCCUCUGAUUAUGUAGACCUGCAUCAUUUACAUGGAGGUUGCAUUGUUAGUCAUAGUAAAUUUCAAUACAUGGAUCGUCCCUAUCAUCAUAUCUUAAUGACCCCUUUUUGUUCAUUUGUAGUAAUUCCAGUUUCGCAAUGCAGUAAUAACUCAAUCAACAUACCAUCAUUGUUUGGCUGCACAAAAACAUUAGAUUUAAAGACUUGAACAAUAAUGUGGAUAACACCAGUAACUCACCUAGCAAAGUUUUUAGAAGUUUUAGAAUCAUGAUGCUCAUUUAUAACCCAACAAAUUGUACAGAAAAAACAUAAGAGAAAUGACUGGUCAACUCUGACCACAUGUGGUUUCCAAAGAAAUCCUGGGUCCCAAACAGAGCUCUAGAACAACUUUAAGAAUCUGACCUUGAACUUUGUCCUCUGAACUAGCUGGAACACCAAGCAAUCACCAUCAGCCAGCUUGUGACCGAUGGCGAACAAGUUCCACCCAGCACCGAUGGCACUACUUGUCGCAAGGUAAUGAAUCUGAAACUCGACACCUUCUUCAUCCACCAGAAACAUCAUCUCAUCACUCAACUGGAGAUACCUCUCUCUGAAUUGCAACGGGAUGCCCUGCAAAAUAUCCAACCAAAUCAACAUCUACUAAAGCCAUUACCGUGCAGAUGGGAUUGAAACAAUGCAUCUCAAAUGUAGUCAUCUUGCUUUACCAGACCACGUGUGGCAGAGUAAUUAGAAACCGGCUUGAUGAAGGAGGGUUGGUCGGAGCUCAGCUGGUUCUUGAAACUGUUAACUAAAGUAUGCUAACAAAUUUAGAAAAUGUUCUCUAAAUUGAAAAAAACACGAAUUUAAAAUUUUAAACUUUAAAAACUUCACGAGAUUUAAAAAAUGUUCACUAAUUUAAAUUGUCCACGAAUUUGAAUAAUGUUCUAGAAUUUUAAAAAUGGUUCCCCAUGUUUUGGAAAGUAUUCAUGAAUUACAAAAGAAAUAUGAAUUUUAAAAUUUUAUAAAGUUAAAAAGUUCACUAUUUAAAAAUAUGUUCAUAAAUAUUUAAAAAUGUUCAAAAAUGUAAGAAGUUGUUCAAAAAAAUUGAAAAAGAUGUUCAUGACUUAAAAUUGAAAAAAAAAAUGAAUAACCAAAUAGGAAAAGAAAGGGAAAAAGGGAAAGUCAGUAAAAACAAUAGAGAAAACAACUAAUAGGAAAAGGUAAGUCGGAGACAACCUUCCUAAAACCAAGAAAACCAAUUCCAUAAGCUUCCCCGAACCGGAAAAAUGAGCCCCCCUACAUGGGCAGAAUCAAUACUACAUGUUGUUGCUUCUAGACUUGGUAUUCAUGUUCCAUUGCAGAUCUCAUCAUAACCAAUCACCGAUGAACCAACAUAACACCCUUCAUCAUCUCUGCAAACUGCAGCAACAAGUCCUUUAACCCCUAAUCUUGAAACACCUCUGCCUACCUGAAUCUUAUGAUCGACUCACUGGAGGGUGCUGAUGCCUGGUUGCCGUCCCACUCCAAUGCAUGCAGGCUUGCUUUUGUGCACACCUCUAGCUUAGCAAUAAAUCUGAGAAUGAAAGCAUAAGUGACUAUUGGAUUUCGAAAUUACUCUUCAUGAAUUGACCCUUUUUAACAAAUUCAGUAUUUGUUACUGCUUCUUGAUAUUUGCCAGCCAGACUUCAUGAUCUUUUGAUUGAUCAACAGACAUCGCAUUUGUAACAUCAUUGACAAGCAUCCGCACGAACGGUGCCAUACAACAUCCAGUCAAUGAAUGGUGCUAAGAGUCCGCGCUUGAACUGCUAUCUUACUACAGAAAGGCGACUCCGCCAUAUGGCCACCAGCCCUCACUUUGCUUGUUGGUUGUGGCGAUCUUGCAAACCUCCUAACAAACAAUUUUAACUCCUGAGGGCACUUUAACCUUACAUAGCCCCUUCCACCAUUUGCACACCUCCAUGGCAUCUGAACUUUCAACUUUGCCUUCCAGCCAGUUUUCCAUUCUUCUCUUUAGUUCUACUAUUCUUUGGUGAUCUUGCGGAAAAUAAACUUGUUUUCUCAUAAUAAUGCGAUUUCAAAAAACCAUCAUGUGUGCGAUAUGGCCGAUUGCAAUUUUUUAGGCAGCUCUUACAUCCAUGUGCAGCUGUUUAUUCCACGCUCUCUCCGCUUCAUUGAUGAAGUGUGAAACUUUUACUACUGCUAAUUCUGACAGGUACAGAUUUUCCUUGAAAGAGAGAUGAAAUUUUCGUUUUCUAACCUAGGUUUGGCUUAAUUGCAAAACGAAUAUUAUGUGCACAUGAAGCAGAGUGCAAGUGGUCUGAUGUGUCGUCAACUUUGUUGAGUUCUUAACAUUGUAAACGCUUAUUACUCAUAUCUUUAAGAGUGGGAUAAAGAAGGGGGGCAAGGAGAUUUUCUACACCAUAUCACUUGAAUGCUCGUAUCUAAAAAUCGUGUGCAUGAUAAGAUAUUUCGUUCCUAGAUUUUUCUUCCCAAAAUGAAGGCAUUACCGUACCUUCUUCGCCUCUGCAUGAUGAAGCCAAACCCUCACAUACAACAAAUACGUAUUCAAGAAAUUAGCGUCGAUUAGCCAAUUGCCAGUAAUGCAUUUGCAUGUUCCACGUGCAAACAUAUUCACCAAUGAGGAAACUGCUUCUCGAGGACCACAGUGAGGCAGGUCCGCAUUCGGAAACAAUCAAAAGUUUGGAAUCCUAACAACUUCAUAGAUAAAGAAAAUGAGAUAAAUUUCUCGCUCAACAAUUAAAGGUACUAACUAAUUAGCAGCCACACAGGUGCGAUGAACAGUCUUCAAGCAAGUGCUGAAGAAUCUGUAAUUUCAGGAAGCUUGAUCUUAACCUUACUCUGUAUUAAGGUCAGACAAAUUGCAUUCAACAUGGCAUCUUAUCCGGCUCAGGUAAAAUAUGAAUGCUAGAGGAUGAGGCCAGCCGCUGUUGCACCUUUAGGGGGUCAGAUAACGGCUUCUUCAAAGAUUAUGUUGCGCUCCAUGGAUCCUUUUUUUGCCCUGAUGAUCAAUUGGUAAACAAUCUUUAUUCAGUUCAGACUGCAUGUUGCUCUCACUCACCCAACAAUACUUACUGGUAGUGAUCAAGAAACCAUGUGC